AUUGAACGCUGGCGGCAGGCCUAACACAUGCAAGUCGAACGAGUGGCGGACGGGUGAGUAAUGUCUGGGAAACUGCCUGAUGGAGGGGGAUCACUACUGGAAACGGUAGCUAAUAUCGCAUACCAUCAGAUGUGCCCAGAUGGGAUUAGCUAGUUGGUGGGGUAACGACUCACCAAGGCGACGAUCCCUAGCUGGUCUGAGAGGAUGACCAGCCAAACUGGAACUGAGACACGGUCCAAACUCCUACGUGAGGCAGCAGUGGGGAAUAUUGAACAAUGGGCGCAAGCCUGAUGCAGCCAGGCCGCGUGUAUGAAGAAGGCCUUCGAGUUGUAAAGUACGUUCAGCGGGGAGGCGUUACCCGCAGAAGAAGCACCGGCUAACUCCGUGCCAGCAGCCGCGGUAAUAC
rnacentral:rRNA from 1 species